AAAGCUCGUAGUUGGAUUUCUGUGGGGACGGAGCGGCCGGCCGCAACUCGCGGUUCGAGCUAGCGCUUUCCCUACAUCCUGCCGCGAACCGUGCUACCAUUAGUUUGGUGGCGCUGGGGAUCGGCUCGAUUACUUUGAGAAAAAUAGAGUGUUCAAAGCAGGCCACACGCCUUGAAUAAGUUAGCAUGGAAUAAUAACUAAGGACUUCGGUUCUAUUUUGUUGGUGUUCGGGACUGAAGUAAUGAUUGAUAGGGACAGUUGGGGCGGUCAGUAUUCCAAAGCGAGAGGUGAAAUUCUUAGACCUUCGGAAGACUAACAGCUGCGAAAGCGUUCCGCAAGGAUGUUCCCUUUGAUCAAGAACGAAAGUUGGGGGAUCGAAGACGAUCAGAUACCGUCGUAGUCUCAACUAUAAACUAUACCAGCUAGGGAUCGGCCAACGUUAUUUUAUACCGACUUGGUCGGCACCUUAUGAGAAAUCAAAGCAUCUGGGUUCCGGGGGGAGUAUGGUCGCAAGGCUGAAACUUAAAGGAAUUGACGGAAGGGCACCACCAGCCGUGGAGCCUGUGGCUUAAUUUGACUCAACACGGGAAAACUUACCAGGUCCAGACAUAGUAAGGAUUGACAGAUUGAUAGCUCUUUCUUGAUUCUGUGGGUGGUGGUGCAUGGCCGUUCUUAGUUGGUGGAGUGAUUUGUCUGGUUAAUUCCGUUAACGAACGAGACCCCAGCCUGCUAAAUAGCGCGAGUGAGCUUUGCUCGCUGCGAGCUUCUUAGAGGGACUAUGAUGCGCGAUAGCACAUGGAAGUUUGGGGCAAUAACAGGUCUGUGAUGCCCUUAGAUGUU
rnacentral:rRNA from 1 species